rnacentral:rRNA from 1 species
AUUGAACGCUGGCGGCAGGCCUAACACCUGCAAGUCGAGCGGAGCGGCGGACGGGUGAGUAAUGCCUAGGAAUCUGCCUGGUAGUGGGGGAUAACGUCCGGAAACGGGCGCUAAUACCGCAUACUAUCAGAUGAGCCUGUGGGGGAUUAGAUAGUUGGUGGGGUAAAGGCCUACCAAGGCGACGAUCCGUAACUGGUCUGAGAGGAUGAUACGUCACACUGUAACGGAGACACUGUCCAGACUCCUACGGGAGGCAGCAGUGGGGAAUAUUGGACAAUGGGCGAAAGCCUGAUCCAGCCAUUCCGCGUGUGUGAAGAAGGUCUUCGGAUUGUAAAGCACUUUAAGUUGUGAGUCGUUACCAACAUAAUAAGCACCGGCUAACUUCGUGCCAGCAGCCGCGGUAAUUC